GCGUGGAUACAGUGUAGCGAGCGCAGGCGGCGCGUUAAAGGGGCCGCGGGGACCGAGCCGAGGGGUGCCCAGCCAGUCCUGCCCCAGCCAUGCGGGGCGGGGAAUGGAGCCGGCGGAGGUGGACGUGCUGGGGCUGCAGGAGCAGCUGUUCCACGAGCGGGUGCGGGAGUGCCUGAUCUGCACACUGCUCUUCGCCAGCCUCUACAUCCUCUGCCACUUCAUCAUAACCUGCUUCAAGAAGCACACGGACUUUGCCACAGUGGAGGAUGACGAAGAUGCUGCUGUCAACAGAAUUGCGUAAGUGCCUGGCUGUCUCUUUUUUCCCCCUUCCUGGUGUGCUGGGCCAGGUCAGGUUGUGCAGUGGUUAGAGCAGCCGGGGGACUCAGGACUCCUG